CAGGAGAUGAUCUAUGCAGGAGGCGGUGAUUCGGAAUCGGUAUUUCCUGCAUUACCUAAUCCGUUAUCCUGUCCCUGUCUGAGAUUGGCAGCGCAGUCUGAGAGAACCUCCCACUGUUGUACUUUGCAGGAGAAAGAUUUGACUUGCGAUGCGGUUGCACCAAACCCCCGGGAAAGAAUACGACCCUUCAAAAUAUGUUGCAUUUUCUACAGCAAGUGACAUUAAAGCAGCGUUUCAGAUUUGUGAAAUAGACUUCGAUGAAAUUCUGUUUGUAGUCGAACAAAACCAAAACCCAUUGUCCUUAGCACGGAGGCAGAUGCUUAUACAGCCCUGGCGUUUACCUGUUUGAAAAGUGCUGUGAGCCAUGAGGUUACGAUUGGCCUAUCCUGUCUAGAAGUUCAGAAGUCCAACACCCAAGAAGUUUGCCAGCAUCGAGGACAACGCAGCCUGCAUGCUUGCGGAUCUGGUGCCAAGUUGUUUAAUCUCUCCAUGCUCAAUAGCAGCAGGAUGUGCUAUAUACUAGAUGCACCACCACCCUCUCAAACCACAAACGGUACCAUCUCUAAGGAUAAGGGCAACAGAGACGGGGGGACACCACCAGCUGCAAGUUUCCCACCAUACCACCAUCACCAUCCUGACUUGGAAAUAUAUUGUCAUUCCUUCAGUGCCGCUGGGUCAGAAUCCUGGAACUCCCGAAUGGCAUUGUGAAGCACAUAUAAUGAGGUGGUUCAAGAAGGCACCUCAUCACCAAUUUCUUGAGGGAAACUAGGGGUGCGCAAUAAAUACUGGCCCAGUCAUCAAUGCCCACAUCCCAGGAAUGGAUUUUUUAGAAGGCUACGAGAAAGGCAUUGAUUCCCAGUAUUUCCAUGGGCACCAGAAUCACACUGACGUCUCAACAAUGGCCAUUCUUAGUGUAUGAAACUUGACGGAAUCUGAUGUGGAUGGUGGAUUCGAGUGCAGGCGCUGUCCUCCCCAGCCCCAAGAGACCACGUUGGGACAGUUCCACCAUGACUCAAUUCGAGAGGAAACACGAGGAGUUCCCCUUUGUCAAACCAGACAGUGAAGAUCACAAGUGGUAUCGCUGAAGAGGACUGAUCAAGCUCCAGCUGAAAGGAAUAAUUUCACUGACCAACUAAACACACAGUGUCACUGUCAUCGGAGGUAAAGACCCACUACUGAGAGGACUUAGGUAUGGGGUCCACUAGUUUCCAGGUAAGUUGAGGCAACACCAAGUUGCUUUCAUAGCCAGAAAGACGAUAUGUAAGCUGAGUUCUUCCAAAUAGUGCAGGCAGGGUGAAGAAAUUUGUAUCAUGAUUAAUAGGAUAUUAUUGCUGGGUAAGUAGAUUAUCCGAUUUAAACAAUUACACAGAAUCAAUCCAAGUGACUGUGGUCUUGUGCUCCAAAUAAUUAAGCUGUCAGUUUGACUUCGAAUACAAUAGUGCAUUCACCGAGAGAAGUCAGGUCUCAUUUAAAUUUGGAAAAUGUGGAAUGUAAUCCAAACCUUCAGAGCUAUUUGUCUUCGGAAAUGUAGUGCAUGCCUUUGAGGAAAAAGAAGUCUUACUAUUUGCGGAAAAAAUAGCAAAUAAAGUGCUUCCAAAAUAUGUCGAUAUUUUCCAGCAUUCAACAAGUUUUGUAAAUAGUGAGUGCUGGAUUAUGAGCUGUUUUGGACGACAUGUAGUUUCUGCUUCUGACUGUUUCUGUCUUCUGUUCCAGCUGUGUACUUGUGACCCAUGCUGCCCUAGCUAAGGGAAACGUGAAAGUGUAGACCGCUCCUCAGCUUUCAUUGGUUAAAACACUUGGCGACGAUUAAAGGCUGUGAAGAGGAGAGCAUGGACAUGGUCUUCCAUUGAGGUGUGCUUCGUUGUGAAGGACUGCACAGACAUUUCUAUGUAUUUUCCUCUGGAUUUGGUGUCGAUUUAAAAACAAAAAUGGUUACCACUUUUCAGAAUCUGUUGCCAGCAGGCAAAAGAUGGUUGGUCCAAAGGUGACACGUGUUGAUGUAAAUUGUUAAUUGGAUUAGACUCCUACACAUUAACCAUCCCCACAUGUAGAACAGAGUGAGGGUAACUUCAUGGUAGCUAGAUCCAAACAGAGUGAAAGUAUCUGAUCUAUGAACAGGGACAGUACUCGGUCUUGGAGCUGUCCACUGAUGAAUGCACAGUGAUCACAAUUCCGUUGGAACUGAAGUUUGCUACAAGACAUGGACAAAAUGCAGGCUGGGCCUUAGAAAUACCAAAGAUAACCCAAGCUGUGACUCACCAAGAAGAUUCAAUCUGAUCAACCCCAUUGAAAUGGUAUUACCAUCCACCAUCAUGGCUUUACAGUCUAGGGUUCUCCAUUGACUGCCUCCUUUAUUGAAAUGACCACUUGAAUGGCUGCAGGGACAGGUUUGGAGCUGAGUAUUGUGCAGUGAGUAGCUGACUUCCUGAGUGCACACUGCCUUUCUAGCACCGGAGGAAAUAUGCCAGGAGUCGAUAGUCUGCACAGGUCAGGAUGUGUGCAGCUGUCACAGGGCUCAAGUAAGGACGCAGGCAUCUCCUCGAUCAGUGCAUCGUCCAUCCCCUUUGAAGUCAAAUGCCUUAUCCAGACUUGAGCAUAUGAUCUCUGUUUUUUUUCUCAUCUAGAACUCACUGCCUGAAGCAUCACCAGUUGGACUGCUGUGGUUCAACAGGAAGGCCUCAGGAUAGGAAAACAAAAUGGUCAGCCCUGCCAGUGAUAUCCACAUCCCAAACAAUCUAACUGGACCUGUACAAAUUGACACACUCUGCACUAUAAUUGGAGCCAAAGACUUUUUUUUUAUUGACUAUGUGUUAAUGUGUUUUAUUUCCUGAAACAUUUUCUAAAGAAUUAGAGACCUACAGAACAGAAAGUACUUCUAAUUUCAGUGGUAUAUAAAGCUCUAUUCCAGUAACCUUAGGUCACACAAAUGCAACAGGCCUGAAACCCUCUCUUUGUGUUCGCUUUUGUCUUUAAUCUGGGGUUUUCUGUGCAGCUUCUAACUUCUUGUGAUGAUGACUGUCAUCUGCAACAAUAGUUUCCAUAUUUUUAUCCCAUGUUGCAGUGUAUUUACUGAAUUGUCUUGAG